rfam:Schistosoma margrebowiei strain Zambia genome assembly, scaffold: SMRZ_scaffold0001312
GGAAAGGUGGCCUAGUGGUUAAGGCCUUUGAUUUUCAUCCAUGAAGGUAAUGGGUUCGAAACCCCUUCCUACCUA